rnacentral:lncRNA from 1 species
CCUGAUUUGAUCACUACACAUUGAAUGUAUCACAACAUCAUUAUGUGCCUUUGUGUACCUCAUAAAUAUGUACAAUUAUUAUGUGUCAAUUUUUUUAAUUAAAAAAAUAUUGAAGGAGGUUGGAGAGAAGAUCUUGAUAACACUUUUGGUUACAUUGAAUUUCAAGAUGUUCAAGAGGGGAUAUCAAAUGUCAAUUGUAAAGCUGUAUUUUAAACUUCAUUGAGAGAUUUGGGUUGAAUAAAGAAAUGUGUAUGUCAUCUGUGCAUAAGUGGAUAUGACCUCCCAGAGAGACAGUUUAAAGAAGAGUAGAAGUCUAGCACUGAGCCUUGUGAUGCCACAAUAGCUAAAGGCCAAGUGGAGGAAGGACCAAAGGAAACCAGUUAGGAAGCUGUUUAAUAAUCCAGCCAAGUGCCAGUGAAAAUCUGAUCUGGCAUGAUGACAGUAGGACCGCAAAGAAAGGGAAGAAUAAAAAGAACGUUAUUAUUUAUUUUUUUAACACAAAGGAAACCAGCUGGUGAUUUGUAUGUACAAUGAGGUUUGAAAAGCACUGAUUGAGAGACCAGACUGGAUGAGAACAGACAUGGAGUCAGAAGAGAGAGAUAAAAUAUUCACCCACGAAAAGAUCCCCAACUCAAGACUAAAUCAGCAGAGCAGUGACAUUAAAGGAGCAACUCUGUCAAAUACAAGCUCUCCACAAGGAAAGAAGUUGAAGAACAAAAGCCUGAAGCUUAGUCUGCAAUUGAUUGUCUCAUGUGCCUCUAACAAGAAAUGGAAGAGACAUUUUUCCACUUUACUUCUAUGAAACUACUACCUCUCUAGAAACAUUUUUAGACUGCAACCUAUUAAAGGAUAUAUAAAGAAAUAAAGCAGCUGGACCUAUAGGUUUUGGUGGAAAACUAAUUAAAUUUGAACUAAUUUCCUACAAAACUUUUUUC